rnacentral:rRNA from 1 species
AUGGAGGUGUCCGCCGACGCGGCGGCGGCGGCGGCGGCGCGGACGCUGCGGUGGGCCGGCCGUGCGGGGCACCUCGGCGGCGUCCCCCGCGCCGCAGUGAUCGGCGCCGUGGGCACCAUCGCCAAGGCGUACGUGUCGCUGCUCAACACCACCACCGUGCACAACGCCGACGCCCUCCACCGCCUCGUCUCCUCGCGGCCCCCCGGCACGCCGCUCCUCACCGUCAGCAACCAUAUGUCCACGAUAGAUGACCCGUUUAUGUGGGGAUUCAAGGGUUUCCCUAUAACAGAUUCAAAGCUUGCAAGAUGGGUGCUGACAGCAGAGGAUAUCUGUUUCAGGAAUGUAUUCAUGUCUUACAUGUUUCGACUUGGGAAAUGUGUGCCGAUCACUAGAGGGGCUGGAAUUUAUCAAGACCAUAUGAAUGAGGCCCUUGAAGUGCUUAGCACUGGAGGUUGGUUGCAUUCAUUCCCUGAAGGAAAAGUAGCCCAAGAUCACCAACCAAUCAGACGGUUGAAAUGGGGAACUGCCAGUCUUAUUGUCCGAGCACCUGUAACUCCAAUAGUAUUGCCUAUUGUUCACACUGGUUUUGAAAAGGUCAUGCCAGAGAAAUCAUUUUUUGGACGCCGUCCACCAUUACCUCUCUGCGGCAAGGAGAUAAAGAUCAUCGUGGGAGAACCAGUAGAUUUUGAUCUGCCAGGCUUAAAGCAGGUGGCAGCAAUGAUACCACAAGACACAUCCUUCGAAAGGAAGGGCUGGCCAACCAUCACGCCGGAGGGGCUAGACGAGGCAGCGCAGAGAUGGCUUUACCAGAAGAUGUCGGAUAAGAUCCAGUCCGCGAUGGAGAGCUUGAGGAAGACGCUUCUGAACUUGAAGCAGCAUUGA